UACGUAGGGGGCAAGCGUUGUCCGGAAUUAUUGGGCGUAAAGAGCGUGUAGGCGGUCCGGUAAGUCAGCUGUGAAAGUCAAGGGCUCAACCCUUGAAUGCCGGUUGAUACUGUCGGGCUAGAGUCCGGAAGAGGCGAGUGGAAUUCCCGGUGUAGCGGUGAAAUGCGUAGAUAUCUGGAGGAACACCGGUGGCGAAGGCGGCGUCCUGGACCAACACUGACACUGAUGAGCGAAAGCCAGGGGAGCAAACGGG
rnacentral:rRNA from 1 species